rfam:Magnetospira sp. QH-2 chromosome, complete genome
CCGCCCGUUGAGCCCCUAUAGCUCAGCUGGUAGAGCAACUGAUUUGUCGACAAGGCAACUUCCGUCGGAAACGGCGGUCGAAAAUCGGAUGAAUUCAGGGAAACCUGUGAAAUGGCAACCCUGAGCGAAGCCCCGGACGAUCUUUCGGGGAACGUGCAGAGACUAGGCGGUCCGGGAAGCGUCCCGGGUAAAACGCCAUCAGCGUCCGACACCUGACCGGCCCGGCCGAAGGUGAUGAGAUAGUCCGGCCCCGGGCGAAAGUCCGGG